rfam:Ixodes scapularis strain Wikel colony gcontig_1108378518972, whole genome shotgun sequence.
GCAGUCGUGGCCGAGUGGUUAAGGCGAUCGACUAGAAAUCCAUUGGGGUCUGUCUGCCCGCACAUGUUCGAAUCCUGUCGACUGCG